rnacentral:rRNA from 1 species
UACGUAGGGGGCGAGCGUUGUCCGAAGUUACUGGGCGUAAAGCGCGCGUAGGCGGGAGAUUAAGUGAGAGGUGAAAGGCUGGGGCUCAACCCCAUGCAGUGCCUCUCAUACUGGUCUUCUUGAGGGCGGUAGGGAGAAGUGGAAUGGCUGGUGUAGCGGUGAAAUGCGUAGAUAUCAGUCGGAACACCGGUGGCGAAGGCGGUGCUCUGGGCCGGAACUGACGCUGAGGAGCGAAAGCGUGGGGAGCAAACAGG